CAGCACUGCCACAUGUCCAGCAAGGAACAGAAUUUUUUUCUUCCUUUCUUUCUUUCUUUCUUUCUUUCUUUCUUUCUUUCUUUCUUUCUUUCUUUCUUCCUUUCUUUUUUUUUUUUCUAAGUGGAAGAUCUGCUGGGUUUCAGGAAAAGGCUGCUGAAGCCUUCAGCCACCGUCUGGACCCUUCCUGGUGGAUUAUAAGCCCAAAGUGUACAGCCGUAGACAGGAAGGGUAUCACGUCUCACUCGGCUGUCCUGACCGAGCGCCUCCGGACCGUAUCCACUCCAGCACAGUGGUCAAAGGCACGCAAAGUGAGUCAUUAGUGGUGUCGGGACAUGUGCCCCUUGAAGAAGCUGGGCUCUGCGGAAGCCUGGUCAUUUGGUGAGAAGGGCUGAAGGACCCUGCUGGUUUUGGAAGGAGCAGGACUCAGAACAAGGCUCUCCCAGAGCCAGCUGGGGCAACCAGCAAUCUCAGAGCACUCUUGGCUCUUGUCUGAGAUCACUUAGUUAACCUGCCCUGUCCAACCCUAUGCCACCCUCAGUCCCUAUCCAUGGGGGUAAUGCCUCUCAUUCCUGACGUCUCAGGCAGCCCCCGGCAGACCUGCUGGGGUCCAAGAACCAAUCACCAAAGGAGAGAUCGCCAGUGGAUGACAUUUAGAACUGUACUCGCAAUGAGAGUCACACAGAAGGGCUUAGCCAAUAUAGCUGAGACCCAGUCUUGGUGCUGUGGCUUCAGGCUAAGUAAACAGGGAAGAGUUGGACAUGGGUCUCCAUUCUCUCUCCUCAUCCAACAAGGGAGGAGGCAGUGGCCAGGCAGCCAUGCCCACCGAUGCCAUCCUUCUGGGAGGAACCAGACAUUUCAGGCACCUCUCCUUCCCUGGGCGCCUAGAGGUGCUGUGUCUGCAUCCAUCUGCCAUGCCUGCCAUCUGAGAGAGGCCACUGGGACUUGGUAGAGAGGUUCUCCACACAUGCUGGCCUGGAGGAAAUUGGUCUUUAGGGACACUGAAGGCAGUUUCCUCUGUUCAGUGGCUCCUUGGAAACCCACGUGACAGAGCUCGCGUGGCAACUUGCCGGCUCUCAACUCCCAUUCUUAGCUGCCUCAAGCACUGUAAGGUUUAGGAGAGCCCCAGAUGUAAGUAUGGAUGGGAGGACCCUCCAGGGAGUCAUUGCCUACCCUUCUGAACUCUAACAUGGUCCAGCUUUUCCAUUCCACAAUUGAGGAGACGCCAGACCUGGGAGCGGAGCAAGCCUUUGUUUCUGACCCAUUUGCAAACCUCAGCCACUAAGGAACUUGCAUACAAGAAACUGCCUCUGGGCCUCUCCUGGACUGAGCCCUGCCUCCCAGGGGACAACUGGGCAACAGAUUCUUCCAGGUGGCUGCAGUGACAGAUCCAUGCUUUUAUGACAUAGAAAGUCCUCAGUCUCAGGAUUUCACACACUGUAUUUCCCUCAUCCUGGGGACCAGGGAAGGCGAGCAUCUUCUGCUCCCCCCAAACAAGUGUGGGAAUGAUUAAAAUCAUUUUUUUUCUGCUCCAUGAACUCAUACAGUUUUCAGAUACCGAGGAGACAAAGCCCUCCUGU
ensembl:lncRNA